rfam:Lachnospiraceae bacterium A4 genomic scaffold acPFC-supercont1.1, whole genome shotgun sequence.
GCCGGUGUGGCGGAAUGGCAGACGCAGCAGACUCAAAAUCUGCCGGGGGCAACCUCGUGCCGGUUCAAGUCCGGCCACCGGCA